GCCCCGGUGGCCGCAGGGGUAGCGCGCGGAGCCGGGAGGCGGCGGGCCGCGGGUUCUAGUCCCGCCUCGGACG